ensembl:lncRNA
UAAUGUUUGUGAAGUAACUUCAGAGCAAAUGGCAUCCUCACCAUUGAAGAAAAUCUAGUUUGUAUGAUCGCGUCAUGAUACUGGCCUGCUCAGAUCUGCUGCCGUUUUCUUUCUGGACUGCAGAGCUCCAUGUGUUGUGUGUUUCUUCACAUCUUUGCUACCUCACUUUUCCUCCUCUUUGUUACUUCUCUCACCCUUUCCUUUCCUUGUUGGUUUUUGCAGGUGGGUGUCUUUUUAGGGGAAAUGAUUUGAGGAGCAGUGUAUGUACAGUUCUCUGUCAUUUUAGUAACUGUCACUGGAAAGAAGUGCUGCUUUUAUUUGCUUUGUGCACAGGAUAUCGCUUCCCAGCCUGUGCUGAAGUGAAGAAAUGAUACUUGGGAGGUCAGGGGGAUGACAUAGGUCAGUUAAAAGCCAAAGCAGCAUUAUUUCUUACACGUUGGAGAAAGUUCUGUCUUUCAAAGAGGUGCAAGCAGUCUUGCUUGAUGACCUACCAUGUUUUAUUUAAUGCACUAUUCCAGCUGCACUGAAAAUAAGCUUCAUAGUUUGGCUACUUUGGAUAAAGCAGUGUUUGCCUCUAGCAGUGCUGCUAUAUAAGCUUAGCGUAUGUAGGUGGCCACAGCCCCACCUACUUUACUGAGGGACCUGGGAGAUGCACAGGGCAUGCAAGGAAAUGAGCUGAGCUGAGCUGUGCCUAACAGGUGUGCUGUGAGGCUGAGCAGAGAAGCGGUAGGAGCCUGGGUGUGGAGAGGGAAGCAGCGUAUGCAACUCAGUCAUAGAAUGGUUUGAGUUGGAAGGAACCUUUAAAGGCCAUGUAGUCCAUCUGCCCUGCAAUGGCAGUACAGCCGGAUCCCUUCCCCUCAGUGCAGCCUUGACGUGCGUACUACUUUGUAGCUCACUGAGCUCAUCUAGCAGCAGUAGGCUUCAGUACAAACACGUAUACAGAAAACACAGUGCAUAUUAGCCAUUUUUUGGCCAGGCACCAUCCUGGUGGUGCAUUUUUUUUUGUGCGUGGGUAUUUUGGGCUUUAUUUCGAAGGUGAACAUAACCUCAAUUCCAUCCUCACACCUUUUCAUGCUAGUCCAAUUGCUGCUUGCAAUGAAAAGCAGCUUUCCUUCAGUGUCAGCUGAACUCACAAAACGUAAGGAGGAUCCCUUCAGGGUUGCAGUAGAGGAAAAGCUGCUACAAACAAUUGCUGUGUGAGCCCAAGAUGAAGCCCGCUCGCCGCAGGGGGAAGGUGACGUCUCGUUACCGGGGCGCUGGGAGCCCUCGAGCCGUCUCGUCUUCCUGCUCCGAGCGGACUGAGGCGUCUUUGGGAGCUAUGCAAAGCAGCAGGGCGAUACUCGCAGCCCUAUCAGCGGCUAUCGGUUGGAUCUGCUGUUUGCUCCAGACUCCACCUUUGCUUGGAAAGAGCUUGCGAUGCCAUGAGGAACAGGUCCGGCCUCGCGUACCAUAAACACCUAUUAAAGAGAAAUAAAUACGUCUACGGGGAGCUCGAGUUAAACGGGGCAGCGGGAGGCGACGACGCGCCUCCCGCACGGGCGGCCCCACGCAGACCGGGCCCUCCGCGGGAG